rnacentral:rRNA from 1 species
UACGGAGGGUGCAAGCGUUAUCCGGAUUCACUGGGCUUAAAGGGUGCGUAGGUGGGCAAGUAAGUCAGUGGUGAAAUCUCCGGGCUUAACCCGGAAACUGCCAUUGAUACUAUUUGUCUUGAAUACUGUGGAGGUCAGCGGAAUAUGUCAUGUAGCGGUGAAAUGCUUAGAUAUCACAUAGAACACCAAUUGCGAAGGCAGCUGGCUACACAAAUAUUGACACUGAGGCACGAAAGCGUGGGGAUCAAACAGG